rnacentral:rRNA from 1 species
CCUACGGGAGGCAGCAGUGGGGGAUAUUGCACAAUGGGGGAAACCCUGAUGCAGCGACGCCGCGUGUGGGAAGACGGUCCUCUGGAUUGUAAACCACUGUCACCAGGGACGAAGAUGACGGUACCUGGGGAGUAAGCUCCGGCUAACUACGUGCCAGCAGUCGCGGUAAUACGUAGGGAGCAAGCGUUGUCCGGAAUUACUGGGUGUAAAGGGAGCGUAGGCGGUAUGGCAAGUUGGGUGUUAAAUCUACCGGCUCAACUGGUAGUCGCACUCAAAACUGCUAUUCUUGAGUGAAGUAGAGGCAGGCGGAAUUCCUAGUGUAGCGGUGAAAGGCGUAGAUAUUAGGAGGAACACCAGUGGCGAAGGCAGCCUGCUAGGCUUUUACUGACGCUGAGGCUCGAAAGUGUGGGGAGCAAACAGGAUUAGAUACCCUAGUAGUC